ensembl:misc_RNA Metazoa_SRP Metazoan signal recognition particle RNA
GCCAGGUGUGGUGGCGCACACCUGUAGUCCCAGCUACUCAGGAGGCUGAGACAGAAGAAUUGCUUGAACCCAGGGGUCAGAGGUUGCAGUGAGCUGAGACCACAUCACCGCACUUCAGCCUGGGCAACACAGUGAGACUCUGUCUCAA